UCAGGCCACCAGUGAAAAGAAUGUAAGGUCACAUAGCCUGUACCAUUUCAGGGAGGCAUUGUCUAACCUGGAGCCAUGAGCCUUUUUGAAAUAAUAAUAUUGUCGACCCCCAGUUGUAUGUGCCCAAGGAGAUGGCAAACUUGAGAAACAAGAAUAAUCCUUUCAGCUGGUUUAAAGCUGAGCCCUCACUCUUGGAAUUAAGAAACUGACAAAGGAUGCAAGUUCUUGGUUUAAGGAGCCAAUGGUGUGGUUCCCAGGGACCCUCCCAAAUACACUUCCAAUCUGUUUCUGGAGGACCUGACCUGUAACUCCUGACAAUAUGUUCUGAAUGCUGAAGGAUGGAGAUACACUUUGGAGUAAGAUUCAUAUGAACUUUCAUAAAUUCUUGGGCCAAUGGACUCAAGCCCCUCAUUCAAAGAAAACACCAGAAGAGACUUGGUGUUUUGUGAAAUGGCACAUUCCAAAAUCUCUGUCACUGAGAAAAGGAUGUAAGCUCAGGAUCAAAGCAUCGUCUUCAAAGAAGGGAGACAAGGGAGGAAUGUGUUUUGCUGUUUUGGAUUUCAAGAAAUGAAACAGAAACAAGAGCUGGUUUCUUGAUAACUUUGUUCUUCUACGCUAUGGUCUGUAGAAUGAUACAGUUUCUAGUUUAAUUGGUCUGUGACCUGCAGACCCCUGUGUAAGACUCUUCCAGCUUUGAACAUACCAAAGAAAAUUUUAAAAGAAGAGGGGAGAAAAAAGGAGAAAAGUCUGCAUAUUGGGUAAAGGAUGAUUUUGUAUGUGUGUGCUUUUCUAUAGUUGCUAGGAUUUCUGCAAUGAACAUGAGUUCACUUCGAAAUCAGGAAAAACACUAAUAAAUAUUGGAGUUAAUUCUAAGUAGUUAAAAGAAUAAAAUGAUAACCAAUUAUUUUUCAAGCCAAUGCAAAUUAAAAUAAAAGAAGAAUGGCAGUAAUAAUAAGACAAAGUAGAAUUCAUCAUAAAGCAACACUUGGAAUAAAAGAGCCAUUUGUGGGCAUUUUAUGUUGAUAAAAGGUACAAUGCAGGAUGAAGAUAUUAUAAUGAUCAAAGUCACACAAUAAAAGCACAAUAUUAAAUAUAAAAAACAAAAAUUUGACAGGAAUGAAAGGGGAAUUCAGCAGAAAAACAAUUGUUAUAAGAGACGUAAGCACCAGACUUUGACAAUUAGCAGAGGAAAAAAAAAGACACCUAAGUUUGAUACACCAUAAUUAUCAAAGUUGAUUAAUAGACAAAUAUUGAAUUUUGUUCCCUAGCAACAAAGAAUAUGCCUUUCUGAUGUAUUAUUUGAAAACCAGAGCAAAACAAAUACUAUAAAGGCCACAAAGAGAACUUUUGUCCAAAAUGCAACAAAACUAGACAAAAAUUACCAAAGUAAAUAAAAUUUUAAAAACUCAC
rnacentral:lncRNA from 1 species